GUGGGGAAUCUUCCGCAAUGGACGAAAGUCUGACGGAGCAACGCCGCGUGAGUGAAGAAGGUUUUCGGAUCGUAAAGCUCUUUCGUUAGGGACGAACGUGCUCUUUGUGAAUAAUGAGGAGUAAUGACGGUACCUAAAUAAGAAGCCACGGCUAACUACGUGCCAGCAGCCGCGGUAAUACGUAGGUGGCAAGCGUUGUCCGGAAUUAUUGGGCGUAAAGCGCGCGCAGGCGGGAUAUCAAGUCUGUCUUAAAAGUGCGAGGCUCAACCUCGUGAGGGGACAGAAACUGGUAUUCUUGAGUGUCGGAGAGGAAAGUGGAAUUCCAAGUGUAGCGGUGAAAUGCGUAGAGAUUUGGAAGAACACCAGUGGCGAAGGCGACUUUCUGGACGAUGUCUGACGCUGAGGCGCGAAAGCUAGGGGAGCGAACGGGAUUAGAAACCCUUGUAGUCC
rnacentral:rRNA from 1 species